rnacentral:lncRNA from 1 species
GAACUCAAAUGGUUCAUAUCAAACAAGAGACAUACCGAAUGCCAGUACAAGCAGUUACUUCUUCACUAGAACCAAAUAGAGAAAUAUUACAUUCUCACAGUAGCUUCUUUUAGCCAACAUGUACAAUUACUCUUCCAUCAACUACAAAUACUUCUUUACCAAAAAUCAACUUUUGGAAAACAACUAAACAUCUAGCAACAGAUCUUCAAUUACUCAUCAAAAAGAUAUGCUUCAAUUAUCCCCAACAACUUCAGAGUUGAGAAACGUUAUCCCAAAUUGUCAAACUAUCAAAACAUAUUGUCAAAUUUCUAUAGGAAUUUCACAAAUGGUUCACAAAUUUACACUGCUUGAUAAUCCCAAACUGUACUUCUAUCAGCUCGCAGAAUGAAAAUAUAUCGAUCAAUUUCUUAGCAAAAUCUAGAGUUUCAAACUUCUUUAAUUCCAAUGAAUCACCAUGAAUCUUGCACUAAAAAGAAUAGCAGGAUACUUGAAACACAAAUCCAAGGCUUCGAAUUCACAAAUAUCAAUAAUCUCGAUCGAAUUUCCAAACUUUCCAAAUCUACGAAAGAUGACAAACUUAUCUGAAUCAACAAAGCAAGUAUAUGUGGCGGCUUCAAGAAACACAAGCAGCUUGGGCUCCAAUACCGAUUACCGAUGAUGAAGGAGGACUGGGCUUCAACGAGCACGACUGGAAUGGCGGCGCAUUGUCGGGAAUCGAAAAUUGGAAAACUCUGGGUUAGGGUUUUGAUUUGGGAAAAAUGAAAACUAAAAAUAAAACUAAGAGGCUAGGGAAAGCGGAAGCAAGAGAUAAAUGUCCAAGAUCAAAACCAAGGCUCUGAUGCCAUGAAAGUUGAGCUAUUGUAUCAAAAUGAAGAGAGAAGAAGGCAAGAAGAAAUCAGAGAAACUAGAAAGACUUUGUUCAUUUACAGACUUGGAUAGACUAUUAUAGAGAGAAUGCUUUUAUACUAUCUCAAAAUAACCACAUCUGACCUAAUACCUAUUAUACCCUUAACACCAGUGAUACUAACAUUUCACAUAAAAAUGUCCUUUGCUAUCUCAGUAUAUUAUAAAUAAUGCUAUUAUCCAUUACUACAACCAAAGCAACACUUCAAAAUACACAGAAAAGUUCCAAACUGAAAUCCACUUGAAGUAGCAUUGAUCUCUCAACACAUUCUUGCAUCACCAUUGACAUGUACAUCACUUUUACCUCCAACUAUACAUCUUUUUACUCAUAGCAUUCCAUGAUAGCUCAUUGCAAACAUUUGUAACAACAUACAACCAUUGAACAACCCAAACAGGCAGAAAAAAAAAACAUAUAGCCAAUCAAAGCUUUCAAUCACCUCACAUCUAACUCUACAAUCACACCUCCAUGCAAAACACUCACAGAACCAAUCUGUUAUAUAACAAAAGCAAGCCAAGAACAAACUUCAUCUGUUAUAUUUUGAUAAUCCAAAAAACAGCACCUCACCAUCAACCAUUAACCAAUCAAACAAAACCAACAUGCAACGCAAACAACACAAAAGGGAACCCAGACCUGACAACCACAGGAAAAAACAAUCAGAUAAAUAAAUCCAAAUCAAAUGAUGCAUGGAAGACCUGAACACAGAUCGAAAUCAAGAGCAACUCACACCGCAACCGUGGUAGAAUUACUACAUGCAAGAUCUAAAUCCAUCAACCGAACACGAUCUUGAACCUCUGCACCUGCAAACAGAAUACCAAAUCAACAACCAAAACCUUGCAAACAUAUGCACAAAACCAACCGAUCUUACCAAGAAUCGACAACCCAGGUUUGGUUUCAUAACCCAGAAACUGCAUGCAAUAGAAUUUCCUGAUUUGAUGAAGCGCCCACCAACCGAGAUUCAACAAAAACACCAUAUUUGCACCAAACCCGUCCUUAACAGUGUCCCCUACACAAACCGAACACCCAAAAAUCAAAACCAAACCGACCCAAAAACCACUCGCACCGUAGUCGGUCUCAGAUCGAAAAAAUCAAUAAGCAUAGAUAACUACAACAGUAGAGCAACACAAAAACAUCGAGAGAGACAGAUGGGAAGAGAUGGAGGGAGAGAGGGAGAGAGAGAGAGACCGAGACUAAUGAAGACCAAGAUUUCGUCUGACCAUCUAUAUUUGCGCCCGAGAACCAAAAGCAAGGCCUCCGUGGAAGCCAAGGGAGCUGCCACGCCACAGAAAAAAAACACGUAACCCUGCAUGUCAUAAAACAGGGACAAAAAUGUGAAUUCAUAGAAAACAGGGGUGAAACGGGUAUUGCCUGCUCAUUAAUAGCACAACUGUAAUAAAACGUGAACCGGGGGCAAAACCGAUCAUUCAGCAGCUGAAUGAACAGUUAUAAUCACUUCCUGCUGUAGUAUAUAGAAAAAUUCGUACUCGGCACGGCGGAUACGAAUCGACGAUUUGUGGAGCAAAAUUACCCAUCUGUGGAGGGCCAUCACUCGAUCUUGUUGGCAAGCAUCGCCAUAUUAAAUGUGAAAAAAAGAGAUGAGAGAGACCUUUGGGACUCAUUUGAGAAGUUGACUCUGGUUCGAUCUAUGGGAUUAAUGGCAAGUAAUGAGGAGGAAAUUCUUCCGGUGAAAGCACAGUGUCCGCCUCUUCCGUACUUUGAAAAGCUUUGUUUGAUUGGCAGAUUGCAAAAUGUAAUACCUUGGUUUUCUUCACUGCACAGCAUCAGAACUCUGUAUCUGCAUUGGUCUCGACUUGAAGAGGAUUUACUUCCUCAAAUUGAAGCACUUCCCUCUCUUACAUGUCUUUAUCUUUGUAAUGCAUAUGUUGGAGAAGAGUUGUGUUUGCGCAGAGGCUUUGCAAAGCUGGUGUCAUUGCAGUUGUUCAAUUUUGCCUCGUUGAAGAAGAUAAUUAUAGAAAAAGGGGCCAUGCCUAAUCUCCAGUACUUGUGGGUUGAACACUGCAUGGAACUGAGGACAGUGCCACUGGGACUCGAAUACCUUCAUACUCUACAAACCUUGGGCUUGGCAGUUGUUCCCGUUGAAGUUAUUCAGCCUAUUCGGAAAGACGGUGUGGAUCGCUCUAAGCAGGGGCGGAUUCAGGAAUUGAAACAAGGUGGGACUUGACUUUCCACCAUAAAAAAUAAUAAUAAUAAUAAUAAUAAUCGACGCUGUGACAUGAAUAUUAUAGAUUAAAAAGAAUGAUACACCUAGACAAGAGGGAACGGAGUGAACCUUAUCCCUCGAAAACAAGUUUAUACUCAACUAACUAAAUCUAACCCUACGAGUACCUAAACGUUCGAAGUUGUUUAUCACAAAGUCAUUACUAAUAGAAUCAGCAUAUUUCUUCUUAAUAUGGAGGACCAUACAAUCACAUAGAACUUCUUCUUAAUAAUAAUAAUCGACGUUGUGACAUGAAUAUUAUAAAUUAAAAAGAAUGAUACACCUAGAUAAGAGGGGACGGAGUGAACCUUAUCCCUUGAAAACAAGUUUAUACUCAACUAACUACGAGUACCUGAACGUUCGAAGUUGUUUAUCACAAAGUCAUUACUAAUAGAAUCAGCAUAUUUCUUCUUAAUGUGGAGGACCAUACAAUCACAUAGAACUCGCUGAUUCAGGUUGUUGCGCAACAAACUGUUUGUGCAGUGGGAGGAGAAGACGACAAGAAGAAAGACAAAAAUACGUUUUGAAGACUAUUUUUUCUUUUUGUUGAAAAAAAGGGACAUAAAAGGAUUAAAAGAUGGUCACUUAGGCUUGGACGUCAGCCCAAGAUUUAUACAUUUACUAAUAACCUAAGAUUUACUGAGACUUUUGGGUCAGUUGGGUGGGACCUAGCCUAAAAGAUUACAACAACAUUAUAAAAUACAUGUAAGAAUUUUUUUUUCCUCCAAAAGUUUGGGUGGGACUUGAGUCCCAGUCCCUUAUGCUGUAGAUCCGCCUCUAAGGUACAACACAUUCCUGACAUCGUACAUGUUAUGGAACAAUCUGUGCGUCGGGUUCACGAAAACUUGUCGUGAAAGGUACUUGCAUCUUCUUAUUUUUCUGAUAAUUGAAAACUUACCUGCAUUUUUCAAAUUAGCACAACCUUUAUCAUAUUAAUAUUAUACAAGAAAUAUUUGCAAGGAAAGAAUAAUUUACGAUAUUGCUUUUGUCUUGUUACCCCUUUUGCAGAAUUGAUCAAGUCUGAGGACUAAUGUAUUCCAAUUUGAUAAAUGACCCCUUCUAUACGUGGGUGGAGAUGCAGGGAUUAUUUUUUAUUUUUUUAUUUAUCAAUUGCCUCCUUAUUUUUU